AUUCAUUUCCUCUUUCCUCUUAUCUUCUCUUCUCUUCUCUUGUAGGGCAAACCUGGUGUUGAUGGGAAACGUGGAGUAGCUGGAAAAGAUGUAAGUGUAAUAUGUAGUUCUAAAUGGCUUUGAACUUAUUUAUAAAAUCAAACCACUGUUUUUUCCAGGGAGAACAAGGACAAAAGGGUGAUGAAGGGACAAAGGGUGAAAAAGGUGAACCUGGUGCAAAUGGAAAUGAAGGUAAAAAAGGAGAGCCAGGAUCUCCAGGCUUGCCAGGUCCUCCUAUUGUUCUCCAAGAGGGUAUGUCAAUUGAGGACAUUAAAAAGGCAUUUCCCAUACCAAUGGGACCCCCUGGUGUGGUGGGUCCUCCUGGGAUGAAGGGAGAGAAAGGAGACAUGGGUUUGAAAGGAGAGAAGGU
rnacentral:lncRNA from 1 species